rnacentral:siRNA from 1 species
CAAAUCUAAAGCUUAAAGAAUUGA